rnacentral:sRNA from 1 species
ACGUGACCUGGUGACAGUGCUGGCUUGGCUGUACAGCUCGAUCUAGGUUCUGCGGCACGGGAUGGCGGAGGCGCCUCCUGUCUCAGGUACUUUUAAAUUCAAUACAGAUGCUGCUGAAUUCAUUCCUCAGGAGAAAAAAAAUUCUGGUCUAAAUUGUGGGACUCAAAGGAGACUAGACUCUAAUAGGAUUGGUAGAAGAAAUUACAGUUCACCACCUCCCUGUCACCUUUCCAGGCAGGUCCCUUAUGAUGAAAUCUCUGCUGUUCAUCAGCACAGUUAUCAUCCGUCAGGAAGCAAACCUAAGAGUCAACAGACGUCUUUCCAGUCCUCUCCUUGUAAUAAAUCGCCCAAGAGCCAUGGCCUUCAGAAUCAACCUUGGCAGAAAUUGAGGAAUGAGAAGCACCAUAUCAGAGUCAAGAAAGCGCAGAGUCUUGCUGAGCAGACCUCAGAUACAGCUGGAUUAGAGAGCUCGACCAGAUCAGAGAGUGGGACAGACCUCAGAGAGCAUAGUCCUUCUGAGAGUGAGAAGGAAGUUGUGGGUGCAGAUCCCAGGGGAGCAAAACCCAAAAAAGCAACACAGUUUGUAUACAGCUAUGGUAGAGGACCAAAAGUCAAGGGGAAACUCAAAUGUGAAUGGAGUAACCGAACAACUCCAAAACCGGAGGAUGCUGGACCCGAAAGUACCAAACCUGUGGGGGUUUUCCACCCUGACUCUUCAGAGGCAUCCUCUAGAAAAGGAGUAUUGGAUGGGUAUGGAGCCAGACGAAAUGAGCAGAGAAGAUACCCACAGAAAAGGCCUCCCUGGGAAGUGGAGGGGGCCAGGCCACGACCAGGCAGAAAUCCACCAAAACAGGAGGGCCACCGACAUACAAAUGCAGGACACAGAAACAACAUGGGCCCCAUUCCAAAGGAUGACCUCAAUGAAAGACCAGCAAAAUCUACCUGUGACAGUGAGAACUUGGCAGUCAUCAACAAGUCUUCCAGGAGGGUUGACCAAGAGAAAUGCACUGUACGGAGGCAGGAUCCUCAAGUAGUAUCUCCUUUCUCCCGAGGCAAACAGAACCACGUGCUAAAGAAUGUGGAAACGCACACAGGUUCUCUAAUUGAACAACUAACAACAGAAAAAUACGAGUGCAUGGUGUGCUGUGAAUUGGUUCGUGUCACGGCCCCAGUGUGGAGUUGUCAGAGCUGUUACCAUGUGUUUCAUUUGAACUGCAUAAAGAAAUGGGCAAGGUCUCCAGCAUCUCAAGCAGAUGGCCAGAGUGGUUGGAGGUGCCCUGCCUGUCAGAAUGUUUCUGCACAUGUUCCUAAUACCUACACUUGUUUCUGUGGCAAGGUAAAGAAUCCUGAGUGGAGCAGAAAUGAAAUUCCACAUAGCUGUGGUGAGGUUUGUAGAAAGAAACAGCCUGGCCAGGACUGCCCACAUUCCUGUAACCUUCUCUGCCACCCAGGACCCUGCCCACCCUGCCCUGCCUUUAUGACAAAAACAUGUGAAUGUGGACGAACCAGGCACACAGUUCGCUGUGGUCAGGCUGUCUCAGUCCACUGUUCUAACCCAUGUGAGAAUAUUUUGAACUGUGGUCAGCACCAGUGUGCUGAGCUGUGCCAUGGGGGUCAGUGCCAGCCUUGCCAGAUCAUUUUGAACCAGGUAUGCUAUUGCGGCAGCACCUCCCGAGAUGUGUUAUGUGGAACCGAUGUAGGAAAGUCUGAUGGAUUUGGGGAUUUCAGCUGUUUAAAGAUAUGUGGCAAGUAAGGUUUUACGUUUUCUUCAGUUGAACUAAAGCUGCACUUUAUGCAACAAUUAUGUAAUAGUGUGUUAUUCUUAACAGGGACUUGAAAUGUGGUAACCAUACAUGUUCGCAAGUGUGCCACCCUCAGCCCUGCCAGCAAUGCCCACGGCUCCCCCAGCUGGUGCGCUGUUGCCCCUGUGGCCAAACUCCUCUCAGCCAGUUGCUAGAACUUGGAAGUAGUAGUCGGAAAACAUGCAUGGACCCUGUGCCUUCAUGUGGAAAAGUGUGCGGCAAGCCUCUGCCUUGUGGUUCCUUAGAUUUCAUUCAUACCUGUGAAAAGCUCUGCCAUGAAGGAGACUGUGGACCAUGCUCUCGCACAUCAGUUAUUUCCUGCAGAUGCUCUUUCAGAACAAAGGAGCUUCCAUGUACCAGUCUCAAAAGUGAAGAUGCUACAUUUAUGUGUGACAAGCGGUGUAACAAGAAACGGUUGUGUGGACGGCAUAAAUGUAAUGAGAUAUGCUGUGUGGAUAAGGAGCACAAGUGUCCUUUGAUUUGUGGAAGGAAACUCCGUUGUGGCCUUCAUAGGUGUGAAGAACCUUGUCAUCGUGGAAACUGCCAGACAUGCUGGCAAGCCAGUUUUGAUGAAUUAACCUGCCAUUGUGGUGCAUCAGUGAUUUACCCUCCAGUUCCCUGUGGUACUAGGCCCCCUGAAUGUACCCAAACCUGUGCUAGAGUCCAUGAGUGUGACCAUCCAGUAUAUCAUUCUUGUCAUAGUGAGGAGAAGUGUCCCCCUUGCACUUUCCUAACUCAGAAGUGGUGCAUGGGCAAGCAUGAGUUUCGGAGCAACAUCCCCUGUCACCUGGUUGAUAUCUCUUGCGGAUUACCCUGCAGUGCCACGCUACCAUGUGGGAUGCACAAAUGUCAGAGACUCUGUCACAAAGGGGAGUGUCUUGUGGAUGAGCCCUGCAAGCAGCCCUGCACCACACCCAGAGCUGACUGUGGUCACCCGUGUAUGGCACCCUGCCAUACCAGCUCACCCUGCCCUGUGACUGCUUGUAAAGCUAAGGUAGAGCUACAGUGUGAAUGUGGACGAAGAAAAGAGAUGGUGAUUUGCUCUGAAGCAUCUAGUACUUAUCAAAGAAUAGCUGCAAUUUCCAUGGCCUCUAAGAUAACAGACAUGCAGCUUGGAGGUUCAGUGGAGAUCAGCAAGUUAAUUACCAAAAAGGAAGUUCAUCAAGCCAGGCUGGAGUGUGAUGAGGAGUGUUCAGCCUUGGAAAGGAAAAAGAGAUUAGCAGAGGCAUUUCAUAUCAGUGAGGAUUCUGAUCCUUUCAAUAUACGUUCUUCAGGGUCAAAAUUCAGUGAUAGUUUGAAAGAAGAUGCCAGGAAGGACUUAAAGUUUGUCAGUGACGUUGAGAAGGAAAUGGAAACCCUCGUGGAGGCCGUGAAUAAGGUUGAAGUCGAAACAUCCCACUGGACAUUUCUCUAAGGCCAGCUUGAUGAAAAAAAAAAAAGCAAUCAAGUCCUGGAAACACUUUCAACCUAGAGUAGUUGUAGGAAAAAGUCACAACUUCUUUGAGAAUCCUUAUCUUUCUCAAAACACAGCCAUUAUAACAUCUGUGGAAGCCUGUCCUGGUUCAGGACAGUUGACUGCAGAAAAGAUCUACAGUCUGCUGGGCACGGUGUCUCAUGCCUGUAAUGCCAGCACUUUGGGAGGCCAAGGCAGGCAGAUCACUUGAGGUCAGGAGUUCUAGAUCAGCUUGGCCAACAUGACGAAACCCUGUCUCUACUAAAAAUAUAAAAAUUAGCUGGGUGUGGUGGCGGGCACCUGUUAUUCCAGCUACUUGCAAGGCUUAGGCAGGAGAAUUCCUUGAACCCGGGAGGCAGAGGUUGCUGUGAGCUGAGAUUCUGCCACUGCACUCCAGCCUGGGCAACAAGAGUGAAACUCUGUCUCAAGAAAGUAA